AUUUGGGGUUGGAGAUGGCAUGAGAUGCAGAGCUCCUUGCGCCACUCUCUUUACAAAGGUGAUGUUUGCUCCCAUUCGUGGCUUGGUUUGCUAAAUUAGUUGUUAACUAGCAAUUCUUACAGAUAUGUGCUUUCAUUAAGAAGAAAAAGCUACCAUGCUAGAUUAGUUGAUCCAGGGCUGAAGUUGUAUACCAAAAUAAUGCUGAGAGGUGCUCUGUCAGAAGUACCUUGAGCCUUUUUAUUUUCAUAUUCUCUUUUGCGCACUCAUUUAAUGCCACUUGCAAUCUCAAGUAGAAAAUAUCAUAAAGAGCUUGAUGACCUCUGUCAUUAUCAGUCAUAUUAUAUUAAAGGGUGUUUAGGUGAUCAAUUAGUAAAUAAUCAACUGUGAGUGCUUAAUAUAGUAUAGUGUGUCAUAGAAAUUGCCAAAAUGUUCAGAAUUGGGAUAUCAAGGCUUAAGCUAAGGCACGCUAGCCACUUUGAACAUUGAGACUCAAAUGAGCAGGUCCCAUAAAUAAUAAACAUACCUCAUAUACCGGUUGUCAGUAAACCAACCACUAAGAUGGGCAGGCUCCACAAUUGAACUUCUGGUAAUCUUCAACAUCUAUCUCUUGGUUGUGUGUAUAGUGUAUAUGUCUCUUAUGCUUUUGCUACUAAUUAUGAUUUCCUUCAUUUGCUCAUUUGGCUUACAAUAAUAUAAGCGCCGGUUCUUUUCAUUGUGGAAGUUAUUAUUCUAUUCAGAUUGGUCCUAUCGGUGCUUGAUAAUGUACGAUUAACUGUGCCGAUAUCUCUAACCUACUACCACUCUGCAGAGUGUAGUCUUAGGUAUUGCCUGUACUAAUGCAAUUUUAUCUAAAGUGCUCAAUGAGGUCUUUGUAUUCUUCGAUUUACAGACUAUACAAAAGGAUCAGCAAAGGAGGACUCAAGUUUGCAACCACCACAGAGAUAAGGCUAUGGAACAUUAGUGCGUGGCUGUUCUGUGCAAUUUUUCUCACAUCAAGGUAUGCCUCCGUCUCACUGGGCCAGGGCUCGACUUGCCUACCACAUAUUUGUUUUGUUUGCUGCAGUGUUGUAAGAUUGGAGUGUGUUGAGUAUGCAAUCUUGAUUCCAGGAAAAAAAGAUUAUGCAGUCUAUCGCACAUGUUUGGUUUGGAGGGGGCCUGUAGAUGAUGGUUAUGAUUUUGUUUCCGUUCGGUGAUUUAUUCAAAUGAUUCAGAGUAAAUCCGAAGCCAUUUGUUGCCUCUUGAAUUUCUGGUUCUACCUCAUGCAAAAAAUCUCUCAUGGUUCUACUUCUACCUUAUGUAGAAAAGCAAAUAUUAUAUGUUGAUGAGCUUGUUGCUGUUUGGUACUGACCAUAUUAGUUCCCUAGGCUUGUAAAAAAAAAAAACUUCAUUUCUACCCUAUGAUUACGUGUCAAAGAUGUUUUGUAGAUUGCAAGUUUGAUUUCUUUUUCUUCAACAUGGUUGAUUUAGUUUCUCACCUUGCUGAAAAAUUCAGGUUGGAAUGUUGCCGGUCCAGCCUAUGCAGAUAAUGUAUCUGUUAUAAUGUGAUCAUGACAGAAAGUUAUUUAUUUGUUAUAUACCUGCAGCUCACUUUGUUCACUUCCACAGCACCAUUUCAUUUUUUGACAGUGGGUUAGACAAGUGUGGUUUUCAGGUGUAGUUGCCUAUUAGUUUUUUUUUUAGUUUUCCUGUCUCGGUUUCUUCCAGCCUAUAAGUUAUACUUAGUUUGAUUACUGCAUCUACAGUUUAUUUCUGCUUCUACUUCUAUUUCUACUAUAUUUCUGUAUUUACAUUUGAAUUUCUGUACCUACUUUAUUUGUGCUUCUACUUUUUUCUGCACCUACAGUUUCAGUGCUUUAUCUGCUCGUGGAGCUAUGGCUGUUGCAUUGGGCUAAGAUUUGAUUGCUUGCAGUAUGUCAAGGUGUAGGUGCAGACUCAUUGUUGAUAUUGAAUACUGGAGUAAGAAUGAUGAUCAAUGCUCUAAUGAACUUGCAUGAUGUAGCAUUACUAUUAGGAUAUAGCGUUAGGCACAUACUUUUUUUGACAGUGGGUAGACAAGUAUGCUUUCAGGUGUACUUGCCUAUUGUUUUUUUUGUUUUCCUGUGUCGAUUUCUCUUUUACUGUAAAGCAAAGGCUGACUGUUAGUAUUUGUCGAGUCGAGAGUUUUUUUACUUGGAAGAUCACAACAUUGCCAAUAGAAGAAUGAGUUUUAUAGCAAAUCAGGUUCAGACUUCUAUCUAAUUUCUUGGUUACAUCACCAUGAUGCUUGGAAUAUAAUUAAGACUUUGGGCCCACUGAACAUUAGAAGCUGCAUGGAGGAUGAGAUCAUCUAUGCCAGUGAUGGGAAGCGCACUGUGAUUGUGAGUAUCUGUAUAGAUCACAUUAAUCUACCAUGCUCACUAUCCAGUUACGCCACGCGCAAAUACCAUUGGCAGUGUAUUUCAACUAUGUGUAAUUGGCCGGCUAUAUCACAGCAGUGUACCAGUGUCUUGUGUUGGUGCUUGUCCAAUCAAACAUAGUUAUGUAACUGACAUCAUUUUGUCUUGUCUACCCAUGUCUUUUGUCUAGGCUGUAACACUAGCUGCAUACUACCUAUCUUUUUUAACCUGGCCAUGUAAGACACUUUGUUUUUAUCCAUGUUCAGUGCUGCUAUAUAGAAUCGAUGUUUUAUUUCCUCUUGCAUUCUGAAAGAUUGCCUUGGUUCGUACUGUUUAAGAGUGAUAUAUAAGAUGAGGGUUAUUCAGUAGAAUUUAUAUGCUUGGGAAAGGUUUUGAUAGAAAUCAGUGGAUGGUAACCAUGUCGUAGUGUGAUGUAAAUGCCAUUUGAAUCUUGAUGGUGGUAACCUGCUAUCUUUUCCUCUUUAUUGCUGACAUUUUGGUCUCUCAGAAUAUUUUAAUGUCAUUUGAAUCCAGAUAAUUUUGUUACUCAUGCAUAGAGCAUUUGCAUCUGAAAGGUGGCAUGCGUGAUUGCAACCAAUCUUACAUGUGUUUGUAUUGUUGUUUGAGCAGGAGCUUUUCAUCUAAGGAACUGCAAUGGCCAAAUCUCUUGUGACCGAUGACCCAACGGAGCCUUUUUUUGGGCGUGAACUGGUCACCUUAUGGUUCUAACUGGGAUGCAUGCUUUGUUGCAUGCUUAAAACACUAUUAUUGUAUCUGGCAUCAUAUCCACAUUAGCUUACUCCCUCUUCUGAACAUUGUAUUUUUUCCAUAUGAAAACCGAUUUAAGUUAUUCUACUAUCUGUAAUACAAUUCACAUUGCAUUGACAUCUACAUCUCCUACUUACUCACUACUAACACUAGAAGAACACCCGUGCGUUGCAACGGGGCUACAUUAA
rnacentral:lncRNA from 1 species